rnacentral:rRNA from 1 species
GGGCCCGCACAAGCAGCGGAGCAUGUGGUUUAAUUCGAAGCAACGCGAAGAACCUUACCAGGUCUUGACAUCGCUUGACAAUCCAAGAGAUUGGACGUUCCCUUCGGGGACAAGCAGACAGGUGGUGCAUGGUUGUCGUCAGCUCGUGUCGUGAGAUGUUGGGUUAAGUCCCGCAACGAGCGCAACCCCUAUAUUUAGUUGCCAUCAGGUUAAGCUGGGCACUCUAGAUAGACUGCCGUAGAUAAUACGGAGGAAGGUGGGGAUGACGUCAAAUCAUCAUGCCCCUUAUGACCUGGGCUACACACGUGCUACAAUGGCCUGAACAACGGGUUGCGAAAUGGCGACAUGGAGCUAAUCCCACAAAUCAGGUCUCAGUUCGGAUUGUAGGCUGCAACUCGCCUACAUGAAGUUGGAGUUGCUAGUAAUCGCGGAUCAGAAUGCCGCGGUGAAUGCGUUCCCGGGCCUUGUACACACCGCCCGUCACACCACGAAAGUUGGCAACACCCGAAGUCAGUGAGCUAACCGGUUUACCGGGGGCAGCUGCCGAAGGUGGGGUCAAUGAUUGGGGUG